CAACUUUCAACAACGGAUCUCUUGGCUCUCGCAUCGAUGAAGAACGCAGCGAAAUGCGAUAAGUAAUGUGAAUUGCAGAUUUUCAGUGAAUCAUCGAAUCUUUGAACGCACCUUGCGCUCCUUGGUAUUCCGAGGAGCAUGCUUGUUUGAGUGUCAUUA
rnacentral:rRNA from 1 species